GCGGGAAUAGCUCAGCUGGCUAGAGCAUCACCUUGCCAAGGUGAAUGUCGCGGGUUCGAAUCCCGUUUCCCGCUCAA
rnacentral:tRNA from 1 species